rnacentral:rRNA from 1 species
AUACGGAGGGUGCAAGCGUUGUUCGGAAUCACCGGGCGUAAAGGGCGCGCAGGCGGCCUGAUCAGUCAGAUGUGAAAGCCCACGGCUUAACUGUGGAAGUGCAUUUGAAACUGUCAGGCUUGGGUACCAGAGGGGAAAGUGGAAUUCCCGGUGUAGAGGUGAAAUUCGUAGAUAUCGGGAGGAAUACCGGUGGCGAAGGCGACUUUCUGGCUGGAUACUGACGCUGAGGCGCGAAAGCGUGGGGAGC